UACAGAGGGUGCGAGCGUUGUUCGGAAUUAUUGGGCGUAAAGGGAGUGUAGGCGGUUUGACAAGUCUUCUGUGAAAUCUACGGGCUUAGCCUGUAACGUGCAGAGGAAACUGUCAGGCUUGAGUGUCGGAAAAGAUAGGAGAAUUCCCGGUAUAGAGGUGAAAUUCGUAGAGAUCGGGAGGAACACCAGUGGCGAAGGCGCCUAUCUGGCUGACAACUGACGCUGAGACUCGAAAGCAUGGGGAGCAAACAGG
rnacentral:rRNA from 1 species